GAGUUUGAAGUAAACAUUUUAACAUUUCUAUAUUGCUCAUCAUAGGGAUGGUGCCAAUGGGGAGGCUAGUGGUAGUACCCGGCACUAUUUGACCCAACUAUUCGGUGUAGGGGCACAAGAGGGAGGCUAGUGGUAGUACCUCGUGCCCCUUCCAACUCCACCGGAUAGGGAGCAAAUAGAAUAUAAAGCAUAAGAAAGUAAAAAUGAAAGACAAAGUAAAUAAAAGUAUAUAAGAAGAAUCAAGUCAAAUUUUUAAUCACUUGAAAACACACUUUAAGGAUGAAAUCAGUGCAAGAUUAUAUUUAAAUAGGAGGAGUUUAUUUGAAAAGAAUUGAUUUUGAUCAUUGACAUGCUUGCUCUUAAUAUUUUAAUGCAUGACUUAACACAUAAUAUAUUUUGCAUGUGGCAUGAUGUCUUGUAUUAUGGGUUCUCAAUAUUUUGUGAUGCUCCAUGCUUGGACAAUUUGAUUGAAUGUUUGAAAUACUACAUAAAAUUUUUGUUUGGUAUUAUUGAAAAAAAA
rnacentral:lncRNA from 1 species